GAUGAACGCUGGCGGCGUGCCUAAUACAUGCAAGUCGAGCGAACAGACGAGGAGCUUGCUCCUCUGACGUUAGCGGCGGACGGGUGAGUAACACGUGGAUAACCUACCUAUAAGACUGGGAUAACUUCGGGAAACCGGAGCUAAUACCGGAUAAUAUAUUGAACCGCAUGGUUCAAUAGUGAAAGACGGUUUUGCUGUCACUUAUAGAUGGAUCCGCGCCGCAUUAGCUAGUUGGUAAGGUAACGGCUUACCAAGGCGACGAUGCGUAGCCGACCUGAGAGGGUGAUCGGCCACACGGGAACUGAGACACGGUCCAGACUCCUACGGGAGGCAGCAGUAGGGAAGCGUCCGCAAUGGGCGAAAGCCUGACGGAGCAACGCCGCGUGAGUGAUGAAGGUCUUCGGAUCGUAAAACUCUGUUAUUAGGGAAGAACAAAUGUGUAAGUAACUAUGCACGUCUUGACGGUACCUAAUCAGAAAGCCACGGCUAACUACGUG
rnacentral:rRNA from 1 species